UCACCCAGGUGCAAGCCCAGAGGCAGUCUAUACCCCAACUCAACUGGCUGGUCCUCAAUGCUGCCUGCUUCCGUGCCCAACUUAGAACUACACAUCUGCUGCCUCUUGGUAACAUGUCAUUAUAAGGCUUCUUCAUCAGCCCUAACCCUGCCAACCACUCCUGCCUCACUGAAUGUGCCAACGGAUUGCUCAGCUCCAACCAAGGAAAAGAAGAAGGAAGUUGGAUACUUUAUACCCUCUACAUUGUCCAUUAGCAACACAACCUAGAGCUAGGAUGGAGAAAGAAAAUGCCAAAAUGCUAAUGAAAAAUGUUCAGAUGUAUCACAUAUUAAGCAUACAUGAUCUCAAAUAUUUUGCCUGAUUUAUGCUAUGCAUGCUAUUUUCCAUGUUGUGUAGGCUCUGAUGCUAGUCUACAUUUACAGAAAUCUCCAUCAGCUGUACAAAUGGCAAUUUAAAUACAUUUAACUAUGUGCUAAUAAUCUCAUAAUACAAUUUAUCAUGUAUGAUUGGCAGAAGAAAUUAUUUGGGGCAAAAGCUAUGAUUGUAUUGUUGUAAGUUAUUAUGAAUGCUGGGCAGUGUAGGGCAUGGCACUUGCUACCACCUCCCAGAAAUGUGUAAGGGCUGUUGAAGGUGCCUUGUUCUUCUUUCUUCUUCAAUAUAAGCAAAGCUAUUUAUAUCAUAAAGCUGAAACUUGAAAUUCCACCCUUGCCUAUUCUUUUUCCUCAGAAAGAUGUCUUUCUUUCUAAGAAUAUAUUGCACUUAAGGAUAGGAGGUGUCUCCUUUGGACGUCUAUGUGCCAAAUAUGUGUUGUAAAUUACUUUUGUUUCUCUUAAUAACCAGGGGUGAAGUUCUCAACAGUAUUUGCUGAGGAUGGUACAAGAUUUAAGAAGAAAACAUAUUUUUACAUCUUUCCCUUUGGAGUGCAGUGGUGCUAUCUCAAUUCACUGCAAGCUCCGCCUCCCGGGUUCACGCCAUUCUCCUGCCUCAGCCUCCCGAGUAGCUGGGACUACAGGCGCUCGCCACGACGCCGGCUUAUUUUUUUGUAUUUUUAGUAGAGACGGGGUUUCGCCGUGUUAGCCAGGAUGGUCUCAAUCUCCUGACCUCGUGAUCCGCCCGCCUCGGCCUCCCAAAGUGCUGGGAUUACAGGCUUGAGCCACCGCACCCAGCCUCCAUUUCUUCAUUUUAGAAUGAUACUAUCAGGGAAAUAAAGAUGAAACGUAGAAACUUUGGUGAAUAAUUAAGAUCAUACACACAAGCAUAUCCAUGAAGUAAAAUAUUUUCUGCAGACCUCCCCUCACCUUUCCAAAUCAUAGUCAUAAAAUACUGAAAAUCUUAAGAAUGUUAAAAUGAUAUGAUGACCAGAGGCCUCGAAGUAAAUGGCCACUUUAUGGAAGACAUUACAUAAUUCUGUUGACAAAAUUCAUAUUUAUAUGUUCGUAGUCUUUGAUGACUGAAUAAUUACAUUGAAGUAGCUUCAUCUUACAGUGUAGUGUUGUCUUUUUAACUAUUAUUAAGAAUCUAUUUCAAGGAAAUAUAUGAAUGAUUCCACAUCCUCACAUUCAUUGAAUACUAUUUUUCUUUUUGGUAGUUAAAUCUUUUCAAACAAACUGAGUCCUCAGAACAGGAAUGACAAUUAUCAUGAGUUUGUUAUUCUAAUGCUUGACUUUUCUUUUCUUUUCUUUUCUUUUUGGUUCUGAAAACCCAUUGACUUUCUGAAUUGAAAAACCUAGCUCCGGAGAAUGUAUCAUUGAACUUAAAUAAAUUUGUGUAAAUAAUUAUAAACAUAAU
rnacentral:lncRNA from 1 species